rnacentral:rRNA from 1 species
GACGAACGCUGGCGGCGUGCCUAAUACAUGCAAGUCGAGCGAACUUGCGGGAGCUUGCUCCCAAAAGUUAGCGGCGGACGGGUGAGUAACACGUGGGCAACCUGCCUAUAAGACUGGGAUAACUUCGGGAAACCGGAGCUAAUACCGGAUAAUUCUUUUCUACUCAUGUAGGAAAGCUGAAAGAUGGUUUCGGCUAUCACUUAUAGAUGGGCCCGCGGCGCAUUAGCUAGUUGGUGAGGUAACGGCUCACCAAGGCGACGAUGCGUAGCCGACCUGAGAGGGUGAUCGGCCACACUGGGACUGAGACACGGCCCAGACUCCUACGGGAGGCAGCAGUAGGGAAUCUUCCGCAAUGGACGAAAGUCUGACGGAGCAACGCCGCGUGAGUGAUGAAGGUUUUCGGAUCGUAAAACUCUGUUGUUAGGGAAGAACAAGUACUAGAGUAACUGCUAGUACCUUGACGGUACCUAACCAGAAAGCCACGGCUAACUACGUGCCAGCCGCCGCCGUAA